CCUCAUGCCUGGGAGCUGGAAACAGAUAUUCACUGGCACAGAAGAACAGCAAAGGGGAAGCGGAGGAAAAUAAUCAUGGCCCAAUAUUUUCGUCAGACAAAAUGUCUCAUCUGAGACAUGCUGAUGAAAGGAAAUUAGCUGUAUUUGAAAUACUAUUGGGAUAAUUUAAAUUUUCCAGAAAUAUAUCUCCAUGUUUGCAUCAACCGGAGCACAGCUGCCAGACUUGUGCAGCCACCCCACACACCACAGGGAGUGAGCAGAGCUGCAGCACUCUACUACCAAGCUCAUGGACAAGAACCACUCAGCUUCCUCAACUGCUCUAGAGUUUUGACUGUGCUGCCAAUGGUGGACUCCCAUGUGUACUCCCAUUGCCUUUGCCAGCAUCAUUCAAGAAAGUCAACAAUGCCCUGGCUCACGGCUCUAAGGUUUUUGAAAAUUCCAAGUACAAGGUUUCAUCUACUGACUUGGCAUUGGGAAAACAUUGUGAGUUAAUAAGGAGCUCCUCAGAAUAAGGAGUUCAUCUUCCAGCACCUAGUUACAGCCAAAAUAAACCCAAACAUCUGGAUCAGCUGCCUCAAUCACUCCUUCCCUCUCUGCCAUUGCUGUUCCCACCCAAACACUGCUCCCAUUUCAACAUCAAGGCUCAUUCUAAUCCUUUCAUUCCUUUUUUCUCAUCUUC